rnacentral:rRNA from 1 species
AAUGAUCUAAGCCAUGCGAGUCAUUGUAGCAAUACAAGGCAGACGGCUCAGUAACGCGUAGUCAAUCUACCCUAUGGACGGGAAUAACCUCGGGAAACUGAGAAUAAUGCCCGAUAGAACAUUAUACCUGGAACGGUUUAUGUUUCAAAUGAUUUAUCGCCGUAGGAUGGGACUGCGGCCUAUCAGUUUGUUGGUGAGGUAAUGGCCCACCAAGACUAUUACAGGUACGGGCUCUGAGAGGAGUAGCCCGGAGAUGGGUACUGAGACACGGACCCAGGCCCUAUGGGGCGCAGCAGGCGAGAAAACUUUGCAAUGUGCGAAAGCACGACAAGGUUAAUCCGAGUGGUUUCUGCUAAAGAAACCUUUUGCUAGUCCUAGAAACACUAGUGAAUAAGGGGUGGGCAAGUUCUGGUGUCAGCCGCCGCGGUAAAACCAGCACCUCAAGUGGUCAGGAUGAUUAUUGGGCCUAAAGCAUCCGUAGCCCGUUUUGUAAGUUUUCGGUUAAAUCCAUACGCUCAACGUAUGGGCUGCCGGGAAUACUGCAUAACUAGGAAGUGGGAGAGGUAGACGGUACUCGGUAGGAAGGGGUAAAAUCCUUUGAUCUAUUGAUGACCACCUGUGGCGAAGGCGGUCUACCAGAACACGUUCGACGGUGAGGGAUGAAAGCUGGGGGAGCAAACCGGAUUAGAUACCCGGGUAGUCCCAGCUGUAAACUAUGCAAACUCAGUGAUGCAUUGGCUUGUGGCCAAUGCAGUGCUGCAGGGAAGCCGUUAAGUUUGCCGCCUGGGAAGUACGUACGCAAGUAUGAAACUUAAAGGAAUUGGCGGGGGAGCACCACAAGGGGUGAAGCCUGCGGUUCAAUUGGAGUC